AUUGAACGCUGGCGGCAUGCCUUACACAUGCAAGUCGAACGGUAACGCGGGGCAACCUGGCGACGAGUGGCGAACGGGUGAGUAAUACAUCGGAACGUGCCUAGUAGUGGGGGAUAGCCCGGCGAAAGCCGGAUUAAUACCGCAUACGACCUACGGGUGAAAGGGGGGGAUCGCAAGACCUCUCGCUAUUAGAGCGGCCGAUGUCAGAUUAGGUAGUUGGUGGGGUAAAAGCCUACCAAGCCGACGAUCUGUAGCUGGUCUGAGAGGACGACCAGCCACACUGGGACUGAGACACGGCCCAGACUCCUACGGGAGGCAGCAGUGGGGAAUUUUGGACAAUGGGCGCAAGCCUGAUCCAGCCAUGCCGCGUGCAGGAAGAAGGCCUUCGGGUUGUAAACUGCUUUUGUCAGGGAAGAAAUCCCUUGGGUUAAUACCUCGGGGGGAUGACGGUACCUUGAUAAGAAGCACCGGCUAACUACGUGCCAGCCGCCGCCGUAAGAC
rnacentral:rRNA from 1 species